UGUCCCAUGGCUUAGUUGGUUACGGCGUCCGACUGUUAGCGUAUCGUGCGGUUGCAUCGGAAGAUCGAGAGUUCGAGUCUCUCUGGGACAG